CCCUUAGAUGUUCUGGGCCGCACGCGUGCUACACUGAGUGGAUCAGCGGGUCAGGUUGCGCGAAAGUGUUUCCUAAUCUUUAAAUCCGCUCGUGAUGGGGAUUGACGGUUGCAAUUUUCCGUCAUGAACGAGGAAUACCUUGUAAGCGCGGGUCAUCAUCCCGCGCUGAAUACGUCCCUGCCCUUUGUACACACCGCCCGUCGCUCCUACCGAUUGAGUGGUCCGGUGAGGCUUUGGGAUCUGAGCAAAGAGAGCGUUUCGCUCGUUUUGCUCGGAAAACUCAGUCGAACCUUAUCAUUUAGAGGAAGGAGAAGUCGUAACA
rnacentral:rRNA from 1 species